GACGAACGCUGGCGGCGUGCUUAACACAUGCAAGUCGAACGGAGAGGCCCUGCUCUUGUGGGGUGCUCGAGUGGCGAAGGGGUGAGUAACACGAGAGUAACCUGACCUUGCCUUUGGGAUAACUUAAGGACACUGGGGCUAAUAUCGGAUAGGAGCUCCUGCUGCAUGGUGGGGGUUGGAAAGUUUCGGCGGUUGGGGAUGGACUCGCGGCUUAUCAGCUUGUUGGUGGGGUAGUGGCUUACCAAGGCUUUGACGGGUAGCCGGCCUGAGAGGGUGACCGGCCACAUUGGGACUGAGAUACGGCCCAGACUCCUACGGGAGGCAGCAGUGGGGAAUAUUGCACAAUGGGCGGAAGCCGUAUGCAGCAACGCCGCGUGCGGGAUGACGGCCUUCGGGUUGUAAACCGCUUUCGCCUGUGACGAAGCGUGAGUGACGGUAAUGGGUAAAGAAGCACCGGCUAACUACGUG
rnacentral:rRNA from 1 species